rnacentral:rRNA from 1 species
AGGGUUUGAUCCUGGCUCAGAACGAACGCUGGCGGCAGGCUUAACACAUGCAAGUCGAACGAUAUAGUGGCAGACGGGUGAGUAACGCGCGGAAACGUGCCUUUCACUACGGAAUAGCUUUUGGAAACGAAAGGUAAUACCGUAUACGCCCUCCGGGGGAAAGAUUUAUCGGUGAAAGAUCGGUCCGCGUUAGAUUAGCUAGUUGGUGAGGUAAGAGCUCACCAAGGCGACGAUCUAUAGCUGGUCUGAGAGGAUGAUCAGCCACACUGGGACUGAGACACGGCCCAGACUCCUACGGGAGGCAGCAGUGGGGAAUAUUGCACAAUGGGCGCAAGCCUGAUGCAGCCAUGCCGCGUGAAUGAUGAAGGCCUUAGGGUUGUAAAAUUCUUUCGCCAAGGAUGAUAAUGACAGUACUUGGUAAAGAAGCCCCGGCUAACUUCGUGCAGCAGCCGCGGUAAUACGAAGGGGGCUAGCGUUGUUCGGAAUUACUGGGCGUAAAGCGCACGUAGGCGGAUUUUUAAGUCAGAUGUGAAAUCCCAAGGCUCAACCUUGGAACUGCAUUUGAAACUGGGAAUCUAGAGAUCAGGAGAGGUUAGUGGAAUACCGAGUGUAGAGGUGAAAUUCGUAGAUAUUCGGUGGAACACCUGUGGCGAAGGCGACUAACUGGACUGAUACUGACGCUGAGGUGCGAAAGUGUGGGGAGCAAACAGGAUUAGAUACCCUGGUAGUCCACACCGUAAACGAUGAGAGCUAGUUGUCUGCAGGCAUGCCUGUAGGUGACGCAGCUAACGCAUUAAGCUCUCCGCCUGGGGAGUACGGCCGCAAGGUUAAAACUCAAAGAAAUUGACGGGGGCCCGCACAAGCGGUGGAGCAUGUGGUUUAAUUCGAAGCAACGCGCAGAACCUUACCUACGCUUGACAUGCCUGGACGACUCCGAGAGAUCGGUUUCUCCCUUCGGGGCCAGUGCACAGGUGCUGCAUGGCUGUCUUCAGCUCGUGUCGUGAAAAUGUUGGGUUAAGUCCCGCAACGAAGGGCAACCCUCAUCCUUAGUUGCCAUCCCGUUUGGGUGGCACUCUAGGGAAACUGCCGGUGCUAAACCGGAAGUAAGCGGAGAAAGACGUCAAGUCCUCAUGGCCCUUACCGGUAGGGCUACCACCGGGCUCCAAUGGGCGGUGGCAAUGGGGAUAAUCCCCCAAA